GGGGCGUCGCGGGAAACCGGGGGUGCGGGGCUACCCAGGACCCAACGGUGCCUUCGACUUGGGUAACCGGUACCUCGAGGACAGCCUGCCGCGGGGCUUCCUGGGGAGACGCCUCCCACCCCCACCCCCACCCCCCACAGAGUCUUGAAGAAACUAAAAGUUAAGGCAUAGGAGAGAAAAUACUGCAUUAUUUCCUGGCCCCUGGAGAAACAGUAACCGAGAACAAGUGUGAGGCUCUCUUGACCUGACUAGACUAUUCAUACUUACCGGGUGGUGCUGUCCAUGCCUGACAGAGAAGCUGCACUACAGAAGUGGCCAACCAAGGAGGUGCUGAGGGACUGCACACUCCUUGCCUAUUCUAAAACAAGUAGGAAUACACCGUGCCCCAGCCUUCCACAGCCACCAGUGCUGGGAGGCUUGUUUACAGCUGGUCCCACCACUGCCAUAGCUUCAUUUUUCCUCAAGGGAGGCGUCAGCACAGCAUUAUAACUUGUUGCUAAAGACAAAGCUGGAGGGGGGUUGAAGGACGGAGUGAAAAAGGUGAUGGGAUUAAGGAGUACAAAUCGGCAGUUACAACACAGUCACAGGGAUGUGAAGUACAGCAGAGGGAACAGAGUUAAAAAUGUUGUAAUAACUACGUAUGGUGCCAGGUGGGGACUAGAAAAGCUGGGGGAACACUUUGUAAAGUAUUCUAACCACCAUGCUGUACACCUGAAAUACAUACAAAGUAAUACUGAAUGUAAAAACUGUAAUUGAAAAAUAAAAUUUAAAAAGAUAAAGCAUUA